CCGCAAUCUGGCCUUUACGGUCAGAACCAUGGUGUAACCAUGGUGCGGUGAAAAGGGAAGGGGGUGAAAUUCCUCCACGGUCCCGCCACUGUGAGUUUUACUACCUAACCUGUAUGCCACUGGAUUUUUCCGGGAAGGCGGUUAGGGUCGGAACGAGUCAGGAGACCUGCCUUAUGAACAUACAAAUAC
rnacentral:ncRNA from 13 species